GACAGAGGGUGCAAACGUUGCUCGGAAUCACUGGGCGUAAAGGGCGUGUAGGCGGGACAGUAAGUCAGGGGUGAAAUCCUGGAGCUCAACUCCAGAACUGCCUUUGAUACUGGCGAUCUUGAGUCCGGGAGAGGUGAGUGGAACUGCGAGUGUAGAGGUGAAAUUCGUAGAUAUUCGCAAGAACACCAGUGGCGAAGGCGGCUCACUGGCCCGGUACUGACGCUGAGGUGCGAAAGCGUGGGAGCAAACA
rnacentral:rRNA from 1 species